UACAGCCAUAUCACAUUGAAACACGUGCUCUUUUAUGAACACCAAAGUUAACCCAAGUCAAGCCUGGUCAGUACCUAGAUGAGUGACCAUUUGGGAAUAUCAAGUGCUGUAAG